GUGCCAGCCGCCGCGGUAAUACGGAGGGUGCGAGCGUUGUCCGGAAUCACUGGGCGUAAAGGGCGCGUAGGCGGCUUGGGAAGUCCGUGGUGAAAGCCCGAGGCUCAACUUCGGGUCGGCCAUGGAUACUCCUAAGCUCGAGUCGACUAGAGGCUAAUGGAAUUCCGGGUGUAGCGGUGGAAUGCGUAGAGAUCCGGAAGAACACCGGUGGCGAAGGCGGUUAGCUGGGGUCGAACUGACGCUGAGGCGCGACAGCGUGGGGAGCAAACAGGAUUAGAAACCCGUGUAGUCC
rnacentral:rRNA from 1 species